AGUCUUUUAAAUUCGUGUCAAAAUCUCGUCAGACAUCAGACCAUCAGGACUGGUGAGACUCCAAGUAUAAGUGAGGCA
rnacentral:pre_miRNA from 1 species